UAGCUACUCCCUCCGUUCGGAAUUACUUGUCUCAGAAAUGGAUAUAUCUAGAAUUAAAAUACAUCUAGAUACAUCCAUUUCUACGACAAGUAAUUCCGAACGGAGGGAGUAAUUG
rnacentral:pre_miRNA from 1 species